rnacentral:rRNA from 1 species
AGUGAACGCUGGCGGUAGGCCUAACACAUGCAAGUCGAACGGCAGCACAGGAGAGCUUGCUCUCUGGGUGGCGAGUGGCGGACGGGUGAGGAAUACAUCGGAAUCUACUCUGUCGUGGGGGAUAACGUAGGGAAACUUACGCUAAUAUCGCAUACGACCUACGGGUGAAAGCAGGGGACCUUCGGGCCUUGCGCGAUUGAAUGAGCCGAUGUCGGAUUAGCUAGUUGGCGGGGUAAAGGCCCACCAAGGCGACGAUCCGUAGCUGGUCUGAGAGGAUGAUCAGCCACACUGGAACUGAGACACGGUCCAGACUCCUACGGGAGGCAGCAGUGGGGAAUAUUGGACAAUGGGCGCAAGCCUGAUCCAGCCAUACCGCGUGGUGAAGAAGGCCUUCGGGUUGUAAAGCCCUUUUGUUGGGAAAGAAAUCCAUCUGGUUAAUACCCGGGUGGGAUGACGGUACCCAAAGAAUAAGCACCGGCUAACUUCGUGCCAGCCGCCGCAGUAA